GUCCCGCGGAGCCGCCUCUCUCCGCGGCCACCAGGGCUCUGCGCAGCCCCCUCCCCAGAGCCCCACGGCGCGGCAGGGCGGGAGCGGGUCGGGAAAACAAAUCGCCCCAAUCAGCGAGCGGGGCGGGAUCGGGCGGGGCGGAGCCGGCCAGGGAAGGCGGGACGUGCCCGCCGCCGUUGCUGCUGCUGCCGCUGCCGCCCCCUCGGAAUCCUCUCCCAGAACUUUCAUUAAAGUCGGCGUCCCCCCCGAGCCCGCGGCAGAAGAGGGACUGUCGGCUGCCACGCGCGGACACGCUGCUCCCGGGACGCGCAGCAGGCGAGCUCGCAGGGUGCGCGGCGGCGAGGCGAGGCUGAAGGAGUACGGUUCGGGCUGAUGCAAUUUUCGCUAUAAGAGGAUCCUCCACCUUGACAGCGCGCCUGAAAAGCCCGGGCGAGGCACCGGCGGGGAGCGGCAGGAGGAGGCGGGAGAGGCAUGGAGAGGGUAAGGCGCGGGCAGAGAGAAAAGGAUCCCGGGGUUGGGUUUGGAGACACGCGCGCCGGUGUGCGCGAGAGAAAAAGAGAAACGAAGGGGCGGGGAAAGCGUGGUAGGAAAGCGUGGUGCCGCCGAGGAAGCGCCGGCGAAGGUCCGGAGGCGGCGCGGCUUCCAGUGUGUUCCAUCCGCCGCUGUCACCGGAGCUGCCUCGAGGCAAGACCUGUAGCGGGCAGCCCCGGAGGCGGGCUGUCAAAGGGCGUCCCGGACCCCUGAGCUUUACGGAAACCGCCACGCGGGAAGGGAGCGGGUGCGCGCGGCCUGUCUGGACGCCGCGGGUUUCUGGCCUAGGGGAGGUGAAGUUGCCGGGCGCUCCCGGGGGCCGGGGGAUCCGCGCGCUGUAAUUUUCCACCCCGGCAUGUGCGGGGGCGGGGCGCGGAGCUGCUCCCACGUGGCAGCUGAUGUAACCCCCCGUUUUCUUGCCCCCUCCGCUGCUUUUAAAGGGAUCGCGCGCCCCCUCUGGCCAGGUGUUUCGGACUUCUCUGGAUUUGUUUUCACCCGCGGGGUGUGUGCGUGUGUGCCAGGGGUGGUGGUGCUUCCUUCAGCCGAUGCUGUGGUGGGGUCAGUAUUUUGACAUCAUAUAGAAAGUGGAGAAUGGUGUGAAUUUGGAGUUGAAGGAGUGACUUAAUAGCUACAUCAGCUUGGGGGUAGUAUCAGUGAGAGGUUUUUGCCAGCACUUGUCAAUGGUGUGCCACCAGGAUUUCUCUCUCUGUGUGUGUAUGUCACACACACGCACGCACACGCACAUUAUGCCGAAAAAGAACUUAGUUUUUCACUCAACUUUGGGAGCCUAAACUUGCCUCAAGGUAUCCUGUGUUCUCUUUCUAGCUUGGCCACAUGCCGACUUGUAGAAUUACAUAUCUGAAAGUUAAAGGUGUUCAGGCAGUAGGAAAUCAGUUAAUGCAACAAUGUACCAAUGGUACAGUGGGGGGGGGGAAUCCACACAUAAUUUACAUAUUGUUAAUUGCAACAGGUUUGAUGGCUGCAGACGACUUUGUUGAAUGUGCUGCUAGCUUGCCACAAUAAAGUGUGCCCAACUAAAACAAAGAGCCUAUAUAAUAGAUUCAGUCCUGAGGAUGGACUGAAAGGCACAAAGCUCACUUCGCACUCAGAAAUGGAGGCUGUUCAGUUACAAAGAGAGACUGAGGAAACUUACAAAAUUACUCCUUCUGAAUAAUCAAAACAGCAAAGACCCUUGUGGCACCUUAAAGAAUUACAUGUUUAUUGUGGGUCGGAGCUCACUUCGUCAAAUGCCUGAAGUGAAAUAUAUGUUGACCCUCCCUGAAUACAGAUGAAAGUAGAAAACAGGGAAUGAAUGUAUAAUUAUUUUUUGCUGUGAUAUCAUUUUCUGUUUAUGCUGCCGCAAAACUAGCAUGGCUACCCCCUGGAGUUCUAAUUUUAAAAAAAGAAUCUGUAACAAUGUUUUAUUUCUGAUUAUGAGGAAUAAUGUUCCGCCAGAUCUCCAUUUCAGCCCAUCAGCAAAACAGUACCAACACUCAUGGGCUGGGACGUGCAAGAGUCACUAGCUUACAUCCCAGAUCAAUGCUUCAUUCUGAGACAGUCUCAUCCAUCCUUGAGGAGAUAAAAGUGCAGGUUGCCCUGUCCCACAUAACCAUACUUGUGCUCAUGCAGGUCAGCAUCAAGCUGUUUGCACCACUGAGAUGUGGAUGUUGCCAGUGUGGUUUGGGUGGUCCUCAGUUUCCUAGCAUCUGGGUUCAGCCGUUUGAAUAGCCAGACAUGUAAUCCUAGGGCAAUCUUCAUUAUUGUCUCGUGCUAGCCAUCAGUGGCAAGAGUG